ensembl:lncRNA
CUCUUAAUAAUUAGAGCCGUCCUCUGGUUAGCGAGCCUGCUCUGCCCUGAUAACAUCUUCCUCUGGUAUCUCCCAGGCCAGCUGGAGUGGGAGAAUUUCCUUCCCCUGGGGAAGGAGGCUGAGGGGCUCUGAGGCACGCAGCAGAGAUUGGGCUGAGCAGCCAAAAUGGGGCGGGGGGGUGUUGGUGUAUGGGCUCCAGAUGGGAGUCUGAGCCUCGGUGGGGUUAUGGGGCUUUGGGGGGGGGGGUUACGGGGCCCUGGGCCUUGGGUGGGUUAUGGGGCCUCAGGUGGGUUACAGGGUCUUGGAGGGGUUACAGUAUCAUGGGCCUUGAGUGGGUUAUUGGGGCCUUGGGGUGGGUUACAGGGCCUGCUGUCUACAAUGGACUGUGAGGCCCUGGGCCUUGGGUGGGUAAUGGGGCCCUGGGCAGCUUAUGGGGCCUUGGGUAUAUUACAGGGCCUGCAGUCUUUGAUGGGUUAUGGGGCUACAGGCCCAGUGGGGUUACAGAGCCUUGGGUGGGAUAUAGGGCCCUGGACCUCAGUGGGGUUACAGAGCCUUGGGUGGGAUAUAGGGCCCUGGACCUCAGUGGGGUUACAGGGCCCUGGGUGAGUUAUGGGGUCCUGGGCCUUGGGUAGAUUACAGGGCCUGCUGUCUUUGAUGGAUGAUGGGGCUGUGGGCAGGUUAGAGGGCAUCAGUUGGGUUAUGGGGCUGUGAGCCUUGGUGGGGUUACAGGGCCUUGGAUGGGUUACGGGACCCAGGGCCUUGGCUGGAUUACAGGGACCUGGGCCUCAGCUGGCCUGCAGGUCCUUGGUAGAUUACAGGGCCUGCAGCCCUUGAUGGGCUAUGGGGCUGUGGGCCUUGGGUAGGUUACAGGACAUAAGGUGGGUUAUGGGGCCCCUGGGCAGGGGGUUACAGCUCCUGGGCAUCAGCUGGGGUCACAGAACCUUGGGUGGGUUAUGGGGCCUUGAUAAAUGCCAGCCCUGCAGCCCUUGAUGGGCGACGGGGCCGUGGGCAGGUUACGGGGCAUCAGGUGGGUUAUGGGGCCACGGGCCUGGAGGGGUCACAGAGCCUGGUGUCACUGUGAGCCCAUGACGGCGCUCUUCGUCCAAGCGCUGAGGCCUCACCAGCACAAGGAUGGAGCUGAGGCCCGGCGCUCCCCCGGCCCUGUGCCGUGCAGGCUGAGCUGAGCUGCAGCUCCAGGCAGGGGCUGGCCGAGCAG